rnacentral:rRNA from 1 species
UACGGAGGGUGCAAGCGUUAUCCGGAUUCACUGGGUUUAAAGGGUGCGUAGGCGGGUAAGUAAGUCCGUGGUGAAAUCUCUGAGCUUAACUCAGAAACUGCCGUGGAUACUAUUUGCCUUGAAUAUUGUGGAGGUGAGCGGAAUAUGUCAUGUAGCGGUGAAAUGCUUAGAUAUGACAUAGAACACCAAUUGCGAAGGCAGCUCACUGCACAAUCAUUGACGCUGAGGCACGAAAGCGUGGGGAUCAAACAGG